CAGCCGCCACGGUAAUACAGAAGAUGCAAGCGUUAUCCGGAAUGAUUGGGCGUAAAGCGUCUGUAGGUGGCUUUUCAAGUCCACCUUCAAAUCCCAGGGCUCAACCCUGGACAGGCGGUGGAAACUACCAAGCUAGAGUACGGUAGGGGCAGAGGGAAUUUCCGGUGGAGCAGUGAAAUGCGUUGAGAUCGGAAAGAACACCAACGGCGAAAGCACUCUACUGGGCCGACACUGACACUGAGAGACGAAAGCUAGGGGAGCAAAUGGGAUUAGAUACCCCAGUAGUCCCUGUCUCUUAUAA
rnacentral:rRNA from 1 species